rnacentral:rRNA from 1 species
CCUACGGGUGGCAGCAGUGGGGGAUAUUGGACAAUGGGGGAAACCCUGAUGCAGCGACGCCGCGUGUGGGAAGACGGUCCUCUGGAUUGUAAACCACUGUCGCCAGGGACGAAAAUGACGGUACCUGGGGAGGAGGCUCCGGCUAACUACGUGCCAGCAGCGGCGGUAAUACGCAGGGAGCGAGCGUUGUACGGAAUUACUGGGUGUAAAGGGAGCGUAGGCGGGACUGCAAGUUGGGUGUCAAAUCGAGCGGCUCAACCGGUAGCCGCACUCAAAACUGCAGGUCUUGAGUGAAGGAGAGGCAGGCGGAAUGCCUAGUGUAGCGGUGAAAUGCGUAGAUAUUAGGAGGAACACCAGUGGCGAAGGCGGCCUGCUGGGCUUUUACUGACGCUGAGGCUCGAAAGUGUGGGUAGCAAACAGGAUUAGAUACCCUUGUAGUC